UUGGGGCUUCAACACUGGAAUAGAGUCCUGCCACCACCACCGACGAUCCACGAUUUACUCUGCCCUUACUGACAGUCACCUAAGGAAAAAAACAACUUUGUUGGUCAAAGUUGUCAAGGCUUUAUUCUAAGUCAAAGAUUACGUUAAUUACCGAAAAAUGAGAGUUAUAACGUGGUUUCACCAAACUACAUGUUAACACACCAAUCUAACAUCAAUGAGAAGAUGAGAGCCAUGCUAAUGGACUGCCUU
rnacentral:lncRNA from 1 species